UACGAAGGUCCCAAGCGUUAUCCGGAUUUAUUGGGUUUAAAGGGUGCGUAGGCGGGUUACUAAGUCAGUGGUGAAAGCUCCAUGCCUAACAUGGAAAUUGCCAUUGAUACUGAUGAUCUUGAGUACAUUUGAAGUGGGCGGAAUGUGUCAUGUAGUGGUGAAAUACUUAGAUAUGACACAGAACACCGAUUGCGUAGGCAGCUCACUAAACUGUAACUGACGCUGAGGCACGAAAGCGUGGGGAGCAAACAGG
rnacentral:rRNA from 1 species